AACGCACCUUGCGCUCCUUGGUAUUCCGAGGAGCAUGCCUGUUCGAGUGUCAUGAAACUCUCAAACUGUCAUCUUUUAUUGGAUGUUCAGGCUUGGAUUUGGAUGUUGCUGGGUCUAACGACUUGGCUCGUCUUAAAAGCAUUAGCUGUCUCUCACGACUUCAGUUAACGGUGUGAUAAUUACAUCUACGCCGAAGCCUUCGGGCGCUGAGUUGGGUUAAAGCGGCUUCUAACCGUCUUCGGACAAUUUCAUUUCACAUCUGGCCUCGAAUCAGGUAGGACUACCCGCUGAACUUAA
rnacentral:misc_RNA from 1 species